AACGAACGCUGGCGGCGUGCCUAACACAUGCAAGUCGAACGAGAAAACGGGCUUCGGUCCGUGAGUAAAGUGGCAGACGGGUGAGUAACACGUGGGUAACCUGCCCGGAGGUGGGGGAUAACCCCCGGAAACGGGGGCUAAUACCGCAUGACACCCCGAAGGCUGCGGCCUUUGGGAUCAAAGCUGGCCUCUACAUGUAAGCCAGUGCCACCGGAGGGGCCCGCGGCCCAUUAGCUAGUUGGUGAGGUAACGGCNCACCAAGGCGACGAUGGGUAGCCGGCCUGAGAGGGCGAUCGGCCACACUGGAACUGAGACACGGUCCAGACUCCUACGGGAGGCAGCAGUGAGGAAUCUUGCGCAAUGGGGGAAACCCUGACGCAGCGACGCCGCGUGGAGGACGAAGGCCUCGGGUCGUAACUCUGUCAAGAGGGACGAAAGCCAUGGGAUGAAUGAGCCCCGUGGUUGACGGUACCUCUGGAGGAAGCCCCGGCUAACUCCGUGCCAGCAGCCGCCGUAA
rnacentral:rRNA from 1 species